UACAGAGGGUGCGAGCGUUAAUCGGAAUGACUGGGCGUAAAGGGUGCGUAGGCGGUUAGAUUAGUUGGGUGUGAAAGUCCUGGGCUUAACUUAGGGAUUGCGCUUGAUACUAUUUAGCUAGAGUAUUGUAGAGGAAGGUGGAAUUUCCGGUGUAGCGGUGAAAUGCGUAGGUAUCGGAAGGAAUAUCGGUGGCGAAAGCGGCGCACUGGACCACAACUGACGCUGAGGCGCGAAAGCUAGGGGAG
rnacentral:rRNA from 1 species